GGGCCCGUGGCUUAACUUGGAUAAAGCGACCGGCUUCGGACCGGUAGAUUGGGGGUUCGAAUCCCUUCGGGCUCA
rnacentral:tRNA from 1 species